rnacentral:rRNA from 1 species
CUUUUUGAUAUUUAUAAAAAGUCUAGCCUGCCCAAUGAUUAAUUAUUUAAUGGCCGCAGGAUAUUUACUGUGCAAAGGUAGCAUAAUCAUUAGUUUUUUAAUUGAAAGCUGGAAUGAAGGGUUGGAUGAGAAAAUAACUGUCUCUAUAAAAUUUUAUUAGAAUUUUAUUUUUAAGUUAAAAAGCUUAAAUAUUUUUAGAAGACGAGAAGACCCUAUAGAAUUUUAUAAAAUUUUACUUUUUUNNGUAUUAGUAAUUUUAUUAGUAAUUUAAAAUUUUAUUUAAUUGGGGUGAUUAAAAAAUUUAUUAAACUUUUUUUUUAUUAUUACAUUAAUUUAUGAAUAUUUGAUCUUAUGAUUUAAAUUAAAAGAUUAAAUUACCUUAGGGAUAACAGCGUAAUUUUUUUUUAGAGUUCAUAUUAAAAGAAAAGAUUGCSACCUCGAUGUUGGAUUAAAAUAAAUUUUUGGUGUAGAAGCUAAA